GGGUUGUGAGGUUAAGCGACUAAGCGUACACGGUGGAUGCCCUGGCAGUCAGAGGCGAUGAAGGACGUGCUAAUCUGCGAUAAGCGUCGGUAAGGUGAUAUGAACCGUUAUAACCGGCGAUUUCCGAAUGGGGAAACCCAGUGUGUUUCGACACACUAUCAUUAACUGAAUCCAUAGGUUAAUGAGGCGAACCGGGGGAACUGAAACAUCUAAGUACCCCGAGGAAAAGAAAUCAACCGAGAUUCCCCCAGUAGCGGCGAGCGAACGGGGAGGAGCCCAGAGCCUGAAUCAGUGUGUGUGUUAGUGGAAGCGUCUGGAAAGGCGCGCGAUACAGGGUGACAGCCCCGUACACAAAAAUGCACAUGCUGUGAGCUCGAUGAGUAGGGCGGGACACGUGGUAUCCUGUCUGAAUAUGGGGGGACCAUCCUCCAAGGCUAAAUACUCCUGACUGACCGAUAGUGAACCAGUACCGUGAGGGAAAGGCGAAAAGAACCCCGGCGAGGGGAGUGAAAAAGAACCUGAAACCGUGUACGUACAAGCAGUGGGAGCACGCUUAGGCGUGUGACUGCGUACCUUUUGUAUAAUGGGUCAGCGACUUAUAUUCUGUAGCAAGGUUAACCGAAUAGGGGAGCCGAAGGGAAACCGAGUCUUAACUGGGCGUUAAGUUGCAGGGUAUAGACCCGAAACCCGGUGAUCUAGCCAUGGGCAGGUUGAAGGUUGGGUAACACUAACUGGAGGACCGAACCGACUAAUGUUGAAAAAUUAGCGGAUGACUUGUGGCUGGGGGUGAAAGGCCAAUCAAACCGGGAGAUAGCUGGUUCUCCCCGAAAGCUAUUUAGGUAGCGCCUCGUGAAUUCAUCUCCGGGGGUAGAGCACUGUUUCGGCAAGGGGGUCAUCCCGACUUACCAACCCGAUGCAAACUGCGAAUACCGGAGAAUGUUAUCACGGGAGACACACGGCGGGUGCUAACGUCCGUCGUGAAGAGGGAAACAACCCAGACCGCCAGCUAAGGUCCCAAAGUCAUGGUUAAGUGGGAAACGAUGUGGGAAGGCCCAGACAGCCAGGAUGUUGGCUUAGAAGCAGCCAUCAUUUAAAGAAAGCGUAAUAGCUCACUGGUCGAGUCGGCCUGCGCGGAAGAUGUAACGGGGCUAAACCAUGCACCGAAGCUGCGGCAGCGACGCUUAUGCGUUGUUGGGUAGGGGAGCGUUCUGUAAGCCUGUGAAGGUGUACUGUGAGGUAUGCUGGAGGUAUCAGAAGUGCGAAUGCUGACAUAAGUAACGAUAAAGCGGGUGAAAAGCCCGCUCGCCGGAAGACCAAGGGUUCCUGUCCAACGUUAAUCGGGGCAGGGUGAGUCGACCCCUAAGGCGAGGCCGAAAGGCGUAGUUGAUGGGAAACAGGUUAAUAUUCCUGUACUUGGUGUUACUGCGAAGGGGGGACGGAGAAGGCUAUGUUGGCCGGGCGACGGUUGUCCCGGUUUAAGCGUGUAGGCUGGUUUUCCAGGCAAAUCCGGAAAAUCAAGGCUGAGGCGUGAUGACGAGGCACUACGGUGCUGAAGCAACAAAUGCCCUGCUUCCAGGAAAAGCCUCUAAGCAUCAGGUAACAUCAAAUCGUACCCCAAACCGACACAGGUGGUCAGGUAGAGAAUACCAAGGCGCUUGAGAGAACUCGGGUGAAGGAACUAGGCAAAAUGGUGCCGUAACUUCGGGAGAAGGCACGCUGAUAUGUAGGUGAGGUCCCUCGCGGAUGGAGCUGAAAUCAGUCGAAGAUACCAGCUGGCUGCAACUGUUUAUUAAAAACACAGCACUGUGCAAACACGAAAGUGGACGUAUACGGUGUGACGCCUGCCCGGUGCCGGAAGGUUAAUUGAUGGGGUUAGCGCAAGCGAAGCUCUUGAUCGAAGCCCCGGUAAACGGCGGCCGUAACUAUAACGGUCCUAAGGUAGCGAAAUUCCUUGUCGGGUAAGUUCCGACCUGCACGAAUGGCGUAAUGAUGGCCAGGCUGUCUCCACCCGAGACUCAGUGAAAUUGAACUCGCUGUGAAGAUGCAGUGUACCCGCGGCAAGACGGAAAGACCCCGUGAACCUUUACUAUAGCUUGACACUGAACAUUGAGCCUUGAUGUGUAGGAUAGGUGGGAGGCUUUGAAGUGUGGACGCCAGUCUGCAUGGAGCCGACCUUGAAAUACCACCCUUUAAUGUUUGAUGUUCUAACGUUGACCCGUAAUCCGGGUUGCGGACAGUGUCUGGUGGGUAGUUUGACUGGGGCGGUCUCCUCCUAAAGAGUAACGGAGGAGCACGAAGGUUGGCUAAUCCUGGUCGGACAUCAGGAGGUUAGUGCAAUGGCAUAAGCCAGCUUGACUGCGAGCGUGACGGCGCGAGCAGGUGCGAAAGCAGGUCAUAGUGAUCCGGUGGUUCUGAAUGGAAGGGCCAUCGCUCAACGGAUAAAAGGUACUCCGGGGAUAACAGGCUGAUACCGCCCAAGAGUUCAUAUCGACGGCGGUGUUUGGCACCUCGAUGUCGGCUCAUCACAUCCUGGGGCUGAAGUAGGUCCCAAGGGUAUGGCUGUUCGCCAUUUAAAGUGGUACGCGAGCUGGGUUUAGAACGUCGUGAGACAGUUCGGUCCCUAUCUGCCGUGGGCGCUGGAGAACUGAGGGGGGCUGCUCCUAGUACGAGAGGACCGGAGUGGACGCAUCACUGGUGUUCGGGUUGUCAUGCCAAUGGCACUGCCCGGUAGCUAAAUGCGGAAGAGAUAAGUGCUGAAAGCAUCUAAGCACGAAACUUGCCCCGAGAUGAGUUCUCCCUGACCCUUUAAGGGUCCUGAAGGAACGUUGAAGACGACGACGUUGAUAGGCCGGGUGUGUAAGCGCAGCGAUGCGUUGAGCUAACCGGUACUAAUGAACCGUGAGGCUUAACCUUACAACGCCGAAGCUGUU
rnacentral:rRNA from 1 species